GAUCUGGAGAAAGUAAAUGCAAUAUAUACAUGUGCCAAGGGGCUACCAAUACAGCUUGGUGGGUAGAAGUGCUUGCUCUGCAAGCCUUCUGAUCUAAGUUCAAUUCCUGGGACCCAUGUAAAGAUGGACGGAGAGAACCAAUGCCAAAAAGUUGACCUCUGACCUUGACAUCACAUCAUGGCACACAUGUACCCACCUACACAAACAAUAGCAAAUAAUGCUAAUAAACAAAUACAUAAGCAAUCUAACUUUAAAAUAAUAACAAGGCUUAAGACCUGCACAGAGAAAUAUGCUCAAAUACUCACAUGAAAAGAUUUUCAUUAUUUUCAGGAAAAUGCUGAUGAAGACCAUAUGUAUAACAUGGUCUCCAUCAUCAUAGCCAGUAAACAUCUAAAAUAAUUUAAAUACUUUUUCCCACUUUCUGUUCCAGAUCAUGUAGGAAAACAAAGAGAAAAAACAACAACAACAACAAAACCAGGUUUGGGUGGAAAAUAAACACCCAAUUUUGGAACCCUGCAAAUGUGGAGCAGCUAAUGAGAAAAGUUUGCUGUGACCUUUGGAGUCGCAGAACAAAGCUAAGAGAUUCAAUUGCAAUGAAGAUCAAUCAAGAAGGUAAUGCAUCCAGAAAAUAAGACUGAAUUUAUAAAAAUGGUAAGUGGUGGUGACACCCAACUAGUUUGUAAGUGCACCAAUCAGGGCAACAGCUGUCAGUCAGGUGCAGCAGACUGCUGUCACAAGAACACAAGCCCAGACAUGUGAGGACUUUAAAACUUUCUAAUCUUAUCAGUUUGUCAAUAUAAAAUAAAUAUUCCCGUGUGCUGGUC